UGGAGGGAGCCAGGGAGCUGGCAGGACGCUGAGGGUGAGGGAGGGCAAGUCCCUGGGCCCCCAGCGCCCCCAGGCCCCACGUUGCAGAUCAGCUUCCAUGACCACAGAGCCCAGCCGCCAGCAGCACACGCCACAGACAGGAGAGCCAGCAGGGUGGGUCAAUCCCAGCUGCCCCUCCAUGACCACCCCCGCCCCAGGAGCCAGGCCAGGGGGCUCCUUCCUGUCCCUCAACCCCCACACUCUGCAGACCAGGCCUUUGCCACUGCUGUCUCCAACCAGCGAGGGUGCCCCCAGCUUGCUGCCUCCUCACCCAUUGUCAUGUAUCUGCUGCACAAAAUGCUUGCUCUCACUGGCUGGGGAGUACCCUCAGUGCUGACAGGCAGUGGGUGCUCUGGAAAUGUGGACAGUGAUCAAGAACAGACCCCCAGGUGAACACUGGCAGAGGGAGUAGCCUGUGCAAAGGCCCUCAGCAGGUGUAAGGAGAUUCCCAGCUGGGGCCACACACAACUUCUCCGAUUCCACCCAGGCCCCGGCCUCCUUGCCGCCUCCUGCCUGCACCCGCCACCCUCACCAUGAGAUUGAAUUUACAACGGACUCCAACACAUUUAAAUCCAUUUAUUGCAAAAUUACUUUUCAAUAAUUACAUCACCGUGCCGACUGUGUUGCAUAAUGAAAUUAGCAUGAGGGAUAUUAGAGAGAAUAUAAAAUUAUAAGAAAUAUUGAAAUACCUCUUCCCCGUCUGUCUUCAUGAGGCCCCGUAGCUUAACUGGGGAGCGGGCGUACCUCAUGGACGGGAUUGGAAUGCACAGAGUGUAAUUUUAUAAUG